CCUUGGGUCCGGCAUAACCCCGGGAAAUGGGGAUAAUUCCGGAUAACGCACAUAUGCUGGAAUGCUUUAUGCGUAAAAUGGAUUCGUCUGCCCAAGGAUGGGUCUGCGGCCUAUCAGGUASUAGUGGGUGUAAUGUACCUACUACCCAACAACGGGUACSGGUUGUGAGAGCAAGAGCCCGGAGAUGGAUUCUGAGACAUGAAUCCAGGCCCUAAGGGGCGCAGCAGGCGCGAAAACUUUACAAUGCGGGAAACCGUGAUAAGGGGACACCGAGUGCCACCAUCAUAUGCUGGCUGUCCAGGUGUGUAAAAUACACCUGUCAGCAAGGGCCGGGCAAGACCGGUGCCAGCCGCCGCGGUAACACCGGCGGCCCGAGUGGUGAUCGUGAUUAUUGGGUCUAAAGGGUCCGUAGCCGGUUUGGUCAGUCCUCCGGGAAAUCUGACGGCUCAACCGUUAGGCUUUCGGGGGAUACUGCCAGGCUUGGAACCGGGAGAGGUAAGAGGUACUACAGGGGUAGGAGUGAAAUCUUGUAAUCCCUGUGAGACCACCUGUGGCGAAGGCGUCUUACCAGAACGGGUUCGACGGUGAGGGACGAAAGCUGGGGGCACGAACCGGAUUAGAUACCCGGGUAGUCCCAGCCGUAAACGAUGCUCGCUAGGUGUCAGGCAUGGCGCGACCGUGUCUGGUGCCGCAGGGAAGCCGUGAAGCGAGCCACCUGGGAAGUACGACCGCAAGGCUGAAA
rnacentral:rRNA from 1 species